AACACUGCAAGAAUCUCCAAACAGUGAAGAGGCUGGCCAACAUCAAACGCAGAGGCUGGGAACCAUCAAAUUCACCUGCAAGCAUCAUUGCCCGGACUGCCCCCGACCCUUUCGUUCUCAUCUUGGUCUGCACAGUCAACGCCAAGCCCAUCAAAGGAAAGGUACCCAACAUGAAGGAGGAAAAUAAGGCAGAAAAAUCCUCAAUAACGAGGCUGCCAUGAUGAUGGUGAUGAAGACUCCCCCAUUCACAAAAGGAAAAUCAGUUGGAGAAAGCGGAGGUUGAUUGGAGCAGAAAAUUACCGGUAUCAUGUAUCAAUCACAACUUCCACCUGAUGUUUCAAGACAAUGACACCAAACUAAUUGAACCGUGGACAGGAACACUCAAAAGCAAGAUUGUAAUCCUUGCAAGGAUGAUUAAAGGGAAUCUCACUGCCAGUCAGCUCAUCACAACGGUGAAGCCGGGCCCAAUCAGUGAGUCCAAAAUACGAGGUGGUGACGAUACAUUGAAGGAUCAUCUACAGAUUCAGGCAAAAGAUGCGUCGUACAUAUCCUACGUGGCUCAGAACAAACUUGUAUCU